AAUAGAUACCCCGGUAGUCCACGCCGUAAACGUUGGGCGCUAGAUGUGGGGACCUUUCCACGGUUUCCGUGUCGUAGCUAACGCAUUAAGCGCCCCGCCUGGGGAGUACGGCCGCAAGGCUAAAACUACAAAGGAAUUGACGGGGGCCCGCACAAGCGGCGGAGCAUGCGGAUUAAUUCGAUGCAACGCGAAGAACCUUACCAAGGCUUGACAUAACCGAGAACACCGUAGAAAUACGGGACUCUUUGGACACUCGGUUACAGGUGGUGCAUGGUUGUCGUCAGCUCGUGUCGUGAGAUGCUGGGUUAAGUCCCGCAACGAGCGCAACCCUCGUCGCAUGUUGCCAGCACGUCAUGGUGGGAACUCAUGUGAGACUGCCGGGGUCAACUCGGAGGAAGGUGGGGAUGACGUCAAAUCAUCAUGCCCCUUAUGUCUUGGGCUUCACGCAUGCUACAAUGGCCGGUACAAAGGGCUGCGAUGUCGUAAGGCGGAGCGAAUCCCAAAAAGCCGGUCUCAGUUCGGAUCGAGGU
rnacentral:rRNA from 1 species